rnacentral:rRNA from 1 species
UACGGGAGGCAGCAGUGGGGAAUAUUGCACAAUGGGCGAAAGCCUGAUGCAGCUAUGCCGCGUGUAUGAAGAAGGCCUUAGGGUUGUAAAGUACUUUCAUCGGGGAGGAAAAAAACAAAACUAAUAAUUUUAUUUCUUGACGUUACCCGAAAAAGAAGCACCGGCUAACUCCGUGCCAGCAGCCGCGGUAAUACGGAGGGUGCUAGCGUUAAUCAGAAUUACUGGGCGUAAAGAGCACGUAGGUGGUUUUUUUAAGUCAGAUGUGAAAUCCCUGGGCUUAACCUAGGAACUGCAUUUUGAAACUGAAAUACUAGAGUAUCGUAGAGGGAGGUAGAAUUCUAGGUGUAGCGGUUGAAAUGCGUAGAUAUCUGGAGGAAUACCUGUGGCGAAAGCGGCCUCCUAAACGAAUACUGACACUGAGGUGCGAAAGCGUGGGGAGCAAACAGGGAUUAGAUACC